GCAGCGGAAAGUAGCUUGCUACUUUGCCGGCGAGCGGCGGACGGGUGAGUAAUGUCUGGGAAACUGCCCGAUGGAGGGGGAUAACCACUGGAAACGGUGGCUAAUACCGCAUAACGUCUUCGGACCAAAGUGGGGGACCUUCGGGCCUCACACCAUCGGAUGUGCCCAGAUGGGAUUAGCUAGUAGGUGGGGUAAUGGCUCACCUAGGCGACGAUCCCUAGCUGGUCUGAGAGGAUGACCAGCCACACUGGAACUGAGACACGGUCCAGACUCCUACGGGAGGCAGCAGUGGGGAAUAUUGCACAAUGGGCGCAAGCCUGAUGCAGCCAUGCCGCGUGUGUGAAGAAGGCCUUCGGGUUGUAAAGCACUUUCAGCGAGGAGGAAGGGUAGUGUCUUAAUACGGCAUUACAUUGACGUUACUCGCAGAAGAAGCACCGGCUAACUCCGUGCCAGCAGCCGCGGUAAUACGGAGGGUGCAAGCGUUAAUCGGAAUUACUGGGCGUAAAGCGCACGCAGGCGGUUUGUUAAGUCAGAUGUGAAAUCCCCGAGCUUAACUUGGGAACUGCAUUUGAAACUGGCAGACUAGAGUCUCGUAGA
rnacentral:rRNA from 1 species